GGAGUUUGGGCCGUGUCUCAGUCCCAAUGUGGCCGAUCACCCUCUCAGGUCGGCUACUGAUCGUCGCCUUGGUGGGCCGUUACCUCACCAACUAGCUAAUCAGACGCGGGUCCAUCUUGUAUCAAUAAAUCUUUUCUCACAGUUCCAUGCGAAACCGUGGGCUUAUGCGGUAUUAGCAGUCAUUUCUAACUGUUAUCCCCCAGUACAAGGCAGGUUACCCACGCGUUACUCACCCGUCCGCCACUAAGUCAGAUCGGAACUAGGCCGAAGCUUCGUUCCAAAAUGCUUCGUUCGACUUGCAUGUGUUAAGCACGCCGCCAGCGUUCAUC
rnacentral:rRNA from 1 species